rnacentral:lncRNA from 1 species
CAGAUAUUUGAUAUCCUUCAGAAUCUUCUUUCGAUUCUUCCUCUUCUUCUUACUCUGCUUCCACCUCUUCCUCUUCUUCUCCUUCUUGGGAAAGAUUAUUCUUUAAAACAAUCUCAGUUGGAUCUACCUCUUCAUGUUGGCAAUCUUUACAUAGGUAAAUUUCUGGAGCAUCCAAUUCUACAUCAUCAAAUGAUUGAUGAACUCUUACUGUCUCAUCUUCUUGAAAGUAUUUUGGUAAUUAGGGUUCUUUUUCUUCUUUGAGCACAUAAUGAAUGGCUCGAGACUUAAUUUUGCAUACAGUCCAUCAAUCUUUCCUUCAUCUUUCCCUUGAUGGAAAAGAAGUAUAAUAUACUUGAGCAGCUUGUGCAGCUAUUACAAAUGGCUUGUUGACAUAAGCUUUUGAUCCAUGUUUGAUUUCAAUAAGCCAGUACCGUGGAUCAACCUUCAUACCAUUGUUGGUAUCAAACCAUCGGCACUUAAAUAAAAUGACACUGUUACCUCCAAUGUAGCUCAUCUUAAUCACUUCUUCGAGAAUUUUAUAGUAGUCACUCUCCGCCUUAUCUUCCCAUCAGCUGCCUUUUAUACACACACCACUGUUUAUUGUGCUUUUAUAAUUUUUAUAUUGCUGGGUGUGAAAUUUGAAAUCAUUUAUGUUAUAGCCAUUAUAGCAUGUCACAUUUUGUUAGGUCUGUAAUCUAUUAGUCUCAGCUUCAUUGGUAUAGACUCGCUCCCUUGAAUGACUUGCAUAUUAUAAAAAAAUAAAUUAAAAAAAUUAAAAUAUAUGAAAUGAUAAUGGAUGCUUACCAAUUG